rnacentral:rRNA from 1 species
UACGGAGGGUGCGAGCGUUGUCCGGAAUACUGGGCGUAAAGCGCACGCAGGUGGCUGAGUCAGUCGAUUGUGAAAGCCCUGGGCUCAACCUGGGAAUUGCAGUCGAUACUACUCAGCUAGAGUAUGGGAGAGGGCAGUGGAAUUCCCGGUGUAGCGGUGAAAUGCGUAGAUAUCGGGAGGAACAUCAGUGGCGAAGGCGGCUGCCUGGCCCAAUACUGACACUCAGGUGCGACAGCGUGGGGAGCAAACAGG